rnacentral:rRNA from 1 species
AUUGAACGCUGGCGGCAUGCUUUACACAUGCAAGUCGAACGGUAACAGGUUAAGCUGACGAGUGGCGAACGGGUGAGUAAUGCAUCGGAACGUGCCCGGUCGUGGGGAUAACGCAGCGAAAGCUGCGCUAAUACCGCAUACGAUCUGAGGAUGAAAGCGGGGGACCGUAAGGCCUCGCGCGAUCGGAGCGGCCGAUGUCAGAUUAGGUAGUUGGUGGGGUAAAGGCUCACCAAGCCAACGAUCUGUAGCUGGUCUGAGAGGACGACCAGCCACACUGGGACUGGGACACGGCCCAGACUGCUACGGGAGGCAGCAGUGGGGAAUUUUGGACAAUGGGCGAAAGCCUGAUCCAGCAAUGCCGCGUGCAGGAAGAAGGCCUUCGGGUUGUAAACUGCUUUUGUACGGAGCGAAAAGGUCUCCUCUAAUACAGGGGGCUCAUGACGGUACCGUAAGAAUAAGCACCGGCUAACUACGUGCCAGCCGCCGCUGUAA